rnacentral:rRNA from 1 species
AUUGAACGCUGGCGGCAUGCCUUACACAUGCAAGUCGAACGGUAGCACGGGUGCUUGCACCUGGUGGCGAGUGGCGAACGGGUGAGUAAUAUAUCGGAACGUACCUUAUUGUGGGGGAUAACGCAGCGAAAGCUGUGCUAAUACCGCAUAAUCCCUAAGGGGGAAAGCGGGGGACCGUAAGGCCUCGCGCAAUUAGAGCGGCCGAUACCUGAUUAGCUAGUUGGUGAGGUAAAGGCUCACUAAGGCAACGAUCAGUAGCUGGUCUGAGAGGACGAUCAGCCACACUGGGACUGAGACACGGCCCAGACUCCUACGGGAGGCAGCAGUGGGGAAUUUUGGACAAUGGGGGCAACCCUGAUCCAGCAAUGCCGCGUGAGUGAAGAAGGCCUUCGGGUUGUAAAGCUCUUUUGUCAGGGAAGAAACAGCAGCUCUAACACAGUUUGCGAAUGACGGUACCUGAAGAAUAAGCACCGGCUAACUACGUGCCAGCAGCCGCCGUAA